UAAGACAGAGGGUGCAAACGUUGUUCGGAAUCACUGGGCGUAAAGCGCGUGUAGGCGGUCCUGCAAGUCGGAUGUGAAAUCCCACGGCUCAACCAUGGAAGUGCAUUCGAAACUGCUUGACUAGAGUCCUGGAGAGGAAGGUGGAAUACUCGGUGUAGAGGUGAAAUUCGUAGAUAUCGAGUGGAACAUCGGUGGCGAAGGCGGCCUUCUGGACAGUGACUGACGCUGAAACGCGAAAGCGUGGGGAGCAAACAGG
rnacentral:rRNA from 1 species